ensembl:lncRNA
UUAACAUAGUGAGGCUGCUGGAGGAGCUGGUCUCCACCACCACAGCAGGAUUGGAAAGACUGCUGGCACAUUAGUUGACCUGCAGGCCAGGCUGAGCACAACUGACCCGAUCUGUGGAUUUCUGUCACACUUCACACUUGUCCAUUUAAGCUAGAUCUACUCGCAGUUGGUAUGGAAAUGCUUGGGCUGGCAGCAGCUCAUUAUCUUAACGAUGUUUUACAACAGGCAGUGAGACAUAAAUCUAUAAUCUCACAUGUUUAAUUGGACCGUCAGUGGGACAUUGUGCAAUUGAUUUGAAUAAUACAUUAAGAAGGAAGACAUUCUUGAUCCUUUGGAGUCCCAUUUCAAGCUGGCAACAUCCUGCAUGAUGCAAGUAUAAGCUGG